rnacentral:lncRNA from 10 species
AAGCCUCGCUUUUUUGCUGGUAGACGCACACCAUCACAUCCUACAUAAUAUUUAGCUCUGAGGCGUUUCCAGAUGGGAAGUGCGUUUCUGUAUUUUCAUAGCCGUGUUCUCUACGUGAAUGGACUGGCGUGAAGCUGGGGGCUGACGGCUGGCAGGGCAGAACAACUUCCAGUAAAAGAAGGCACUGAGGUUUAAGUGCUACGUGGGAGCAGUUGCCGAUUUUUGCAAUGGGAGGCUGCAUAGAUUCAAGUGUGAGAAUUCGAAGAGAUUCAAAGACUAUAUCACCACCAUGGUCUUGCCAGAAUCUGCCCUCUGAGUCAUUUCUUAAUCUACUGAUUAUCUGUAGAACCAGCCUUAUAUAAACAAGGAAGCAUCUAGCAGGUGAG